rnacentral:rRNA from 1 species
UAAGUCGGGGGUGAAAUCCCGGGGCUCAACCCCGGAACUGCCCUCGAUACUGGGAGUCUAGAGUUCGAGAGUGGUGAGUGGAAUUGCGAGUGUAGAGGUGAAAUUCGUAGAUAUUCGGAGGAACACCAGUGGCGAAGGCGGCUCACUGGCUCGAUACUGACGCUGAGGUGCGAAAGUGUGGGGAGCAGACAGGAUUAGAUACCCUGCUAGUCCACACCGUAAACGAUGAAUGCCAGUCGUCGGGUAGCAUGCUAUUCGGUGACACACCUUACGGAUUAAGCAUUCCGCCUGGGGAGUACGCUCGCAGAUUUAAACUCAAAUGAAUUCACGG